rnacentral:rRNA from 1 species
ACUUCGGUGCUAGUGGCAGACGGGUGAGUAACACGUGGGAACGUACCUUUCGGUUCGGAAUAAUUCAGGGAAACUUGGACUAAUACCGGAUACGCCCUUCGGGGGAAAGAUUUAUCGCCGAUAGAUCGGCCCGCGUCUGAUUAGCUAGUUGGUGAGGUAAUGGCUCACCAAGGCGACGAUCAGUAGCUGGUCUGAGAGGAUGAUCAGCCACAUUGGGACUGAGACACGGCCCAAACUCCUACGGGAGGCAGCAGUGGGGAAUAUUGGACAAUGGGCGCAAGCCUGAUCCAGCCAUGCCGCGUGAGUGAUGAAGGCCUUAGGGUUGUAAAGCUCUUUUGUCCGGGAAGAUAAUGACUGUACCGGAAGAAUAAGCCCCGGCUAACUUCGUGCCAGCAGCCGCGGUAAUACGAAGGGGGCUAGCGUUGCUCGGAAUCACUGGGCGUAAAGGGCGCGUAGGCGGACUCUUAAGUCGGGGGUGAAAGCCCAGGGCUCAACCCUGGAAUUGCCUUCGAUACUGAGAGUCUUGAGUUCGGAAGAGGUUGGUGGAACUGCGAGUGUAGAGGUGAAAUU